rnacentral:rRNA from 1 species
UACGUAGGAGACGAGCGUUGUCCGGAGUUACUGGGCGUAAAGGGUGCGCAGGCGGCUCCGCGCGUGUGCGGUGAAAUCUCCUGGCUCAACUGGGAGGGUGCCGUGCAGACGGCGGAGCUUGAGGGUCGGAGAGGGGCGUGGAAUUCCGGGUGGAGCGGUGAAAUGCGUAGAGAUCCGGAGGAACACCGACGGCGAAGGCAGCGCCCUGGCCGACAACUGACGCUCAGGCACGAAAGCUGGGGGAGCGAACAGG